AACGCUGGCGGCGUGCCUAACACAUGCAAGUCGAACGCGGUUAGUAGCAAUACUAACUGAGUGGCGAACGGGUGAGUAACACGUGGGUGACCUACCUUCGAGUGGGGGAUAACGUCCCGAAAGGGACGCUAAUACCGCAUAACAUCCUGCCUUUGAACAGGCGGUGAUCAAAGCCGGGGACCGUAAGGCCCGGCGCUUGAUGAGGGGCUCGCGUCUGAUUAGCUAGUUGGUGAGGUAAUGGCCCACCAAGGCGACGAUCAGUAUCCGGCCUGAGAGGGCGGACGGACACACUGGGACUGAGACACGGCCCAGACUCCUACGGGAGGCAGCAGUGGGGAAUUGUUCACAAUGGGCGCAAGCCUGAUGACGCAACGCCGCGUGGAGGAUGAAGGUCUUCGGAUUGUAAACUCCUGUUGCCCGGGACGAAAAGCUCUGACCUAACACGUCGGAGUCUGACGGUACCGGGUGAGGAAGCCCCGGCUAACUCUGUGCCAGCAGCCGCGGUAAUACAGAGGGGGCAAGCGUUGUUCGGAAUUACUGGGCGUAAAGGGCGCGUAGGCGGCCCGCUAAGUCGAACGUGAAAUCCCUGGGCUUAACCCAGGAACUGCGUCCGAUACUGGUGGGCUUGAAUCCGGGAGAGGGAUGUGGAAUUCCAGGUGUAGCGGUGAAAUGCGUAGAUAUCUGGAGGAACACCGGUGGCGAAGGCGACAUCCUGGACCGGUAUUGACGCUGAGGCGCGAAAGCCAGGGGAGCAAACG
rnacentral:rRNA from 1 species